CCUACGGGUGGCAGCAGUGAGGAAUAUUGGUCAAUGGACGAGAGUCUGAACCAGCCAAGUAGCGUGAAGGAUGACUGCCCUAUGGGUUGUAAACUUCUUUUAUAUGGGAAUAAAACGAGGCACGUGUGCCCUUUUGCAUGUACCUUAUGAAUAAGGAUCGGCUAACUCCGUGCCAGCAGCCGCGGUAAUACGGAGGAUCCGAGCGUUAUCCGGAUUUAUUGGGUUUAAAGGGAGCGUAGGUGGGUUGUUAAGUCAGUUGUGAAAGUUUGCGGCUCAACCGUAAAAUUGCAGUUGAUACUGGCAGUCUUGAGUACAGUUGAGGUAGGCGGAAUGCGUGGUGUAGCGGUGAAAUGCUUAGAUAUCACGAAGAACCCCGAUUGCGAAGGCAGCUUACUGGACUGCAACUGACACUGAUGCUCGAAAGUGUGGGUAUCAAACAGGAUUAGAUACCCGUGUAGUC
rnacentral:rRNA from 1 species